AUGUAUUUGGCAGCACAUACACUAGAAUUAGUACAAUAAAGAGAAGAUUAGCAUGGGCCCUGGGCAAGGAUGACGCGCAAAUUUGUGACGCAUUCCAUAUUUUA